UGCCCACGCCCAGUGCCGCUCUUUCUAGAUCUUCGCGCCCACGCCCAAACAAGAUACUGGAAAGAAAAGCCGGAAAACUUGGUAUAAAAGCGUUUGACCCCUUUUCUCCUCCACGUGAAAGGCAAAAUUCUCGCAACGACCUACCAGGCGCUACCCGACCUACCCUCCGCCCAUCCCUGUCCGGGCCUGCAGCCUGGAAACCUGCCUCCGGAGACGUCCCCAUGGGGAGAGGAAAUCUUUCCAAGAGUAUCUCACAGACCCAAUCAAGAAAGCUGAAUACACGAGCCAGCCGUCGUGCACAGAAAUGUCGGUGAGACUACUGAAUGGUGACCGGCCAUGUGGAGGGAGAAGCCACUUGGAGAACCAGGAUGCCCCAGCCAUCAGCUAGGAUGGAGAUCUUAGGACACGUGAGAAGGCCAUGUUGGAUUCUCCAGCCCCACCCAACUAAUACCACACAGGGCAUCCACACUGAGCCCUGCCCAAAUCCUUUUUUUUCCUCCCA